AUAAAUAAGAGUUAAACAAGUUUCCUGAGCAUCAUGGACGACUGGCAUCCGAGCUGACAUAGGAUGAACACGAGUUGCCGCUCUUGCUAGCAUGUAACCUUUUAUCCUGGGUGUUCUCGCAUUUUGGUUCUUUCGGAAGAAAAAGAGAGAAGGUAUAGAGGGUGCUGUUGUUGAAAAAAUUAUCACAACGAACAAGUAAGUUGAUAAAAUUUUUCAUUAAAUGUAUCAAGAUAAGUUGUACGAGACAAUGAAGGAGUAAAAUAUUUCUUUUCUUUCUCAGAAUGGGUAUUUGUGGCGCCUUUGCAUACCCCACGUGAAAUGAAAGUCUUAAGUACUGACUAGGUUGCCUAUAUAAUAACAGAAAUUCUUGGAGCCCAGAUGAUCGAAUUCGAUGAGCAGCGAGAUUUCAGACAUUUUCAUUCGAGUGCUUGUUUCAAGAUCUAUAUCAAAAAUUUAUUUUAGGCCAUGUUUGAUAUCAAAUGCAAGAAAAUUUAAUUGUGGAAUUACAACAGCAACUAGACUUUUCCCCUUUCAAUUUCUUUGAACAAUGUUUACAAAUAUAUUGAUUUAUUGCCUAUUGUUUGUAAAACCUUUGUGUAAAAAGUAAGAUGUCAAAUUUAUUUCCGAAUCUGUAGACACUCAUUCCACCCCUUCUGUAUGUUUUUAAGGGGAAAUAUAACAUAAGAAAUGUCAUUUCUUGUAGAGAAUAUAAGAGAGGGUUUUCCUGAAAAAAAAUUAAGGAACAGAAAAAGAGAUUCUUUUUCUUUAUUUUAAUAACAAAUAUAAUAAAAAAUAAACAUUAUUUACACAUGUGUAAAUGUAUAAUAAUAUGAACAGAUCAUGUCAUCAAUGUAUAUACACAUAUAGUACUCAAUGCUAAACACCUGUGUUAUCUGGGAAUUCAAAGUCUUUGAAGUACAUGUACAUUUGUAUAUUUAAUUCAAAUGAAAUAAAAAAAAUUUAAAAAAAAAAUGAAUUUAUUAAUUUACAAGAUGUAAAUGAUAAUGUAAAUAUAAUGUG